rnacentral:lncRNA from 1 species
UAACCAGACUCCAUCCAAGUUUCUACGACGGUCGACCACCUUCCAGAUUCCAUCCGAGCUCUUACGAGAACUGGAUUUCAGCCGAGCUUCUACAGUGGACGGAUCCUCCAAAAGGGCUCCAGCAGUUGGACUUCAACAACGCCAAUUGGACUUCCACAGGAUCCUCCAGACCCCUCCAGCAGACGAACCUCCCCAACACCAUCCGAAGUCCACUACCGACUGACCCUCUAUCAGAUUCCUCAUGAAAACGGACUUCCCCAACAGAAAGUCCCCAUCCGAGCUUUUACAACAGAUGACUCCCACC